GGGGCUCCGGUGCGGCGGGGCUUCGGGUGGGUGGUGCAGGCGGCGGUGGCCGGGCUAGGAGCCAGGCGCACGGCCGGUGAUGGCGCACAGCGGCGUGCGCACGAACGGAAACAGGAGAAACAGGAGCAGUCACGGUUCCUGUUGCAAGAAACAGGAGAAAGAGAGAAGAAGAUGGGAGAGCCGGAAACGAAGCCCGAUCUCGCGCAUGAACGGCAAAAUGGAACGAUAUUGACGAGGCGAAUAAGAUGGUGUGCUCACCUUCGGCAAGAGAUGAACAAUGGCGGCGGAAAAGCUCGCCGGAGUUGGGGAAGACGACGGAGCCGACAUCAGAUUCAUGCAAUCCACCACACCACGGCGUAGAGCUCGAAGAGAGGAACUCCAUGGUGC
rnacentral:lncRNA from 1 species